GGUGGCCUAGUGGUUAGAGCAUCCGCCUCAGAUGCAGGAGGUUGUGGGUUCUAUCCCCAGCCAAGUCA